UACAGAGGGGGCAAGCGUUGUUCGGAAUUACUGGGCGUAAAGGGCGCGUAGGCGGCCGCCUAAGUCAGACGUGAAAUCCCUCGGCUCAACCGGGGAACUGCGUCUGAUACUGGGUGGCUUGAAUCCGGGAGAGGGAUGCGGAAUUCCAGGUGUAGCGGUGAAAUGCGCAGAUAUCAGGAGGAACACCGGUGGCGAAGGCGGUUCUCUGGGCAUGAUCUGACGCUGAGGAGCGAAAGUGUGGGGAGCGAACAGG
rnacentral:rRNA from 1 species